AGGAGGGGCCUAAGCUCCCGCAGCAGGAGAGGGGCUUUGAUGCGCUCCGGCAGCAGAAUGACAGCGGGGUUUUGGCAUGCAUUGAGACUACAGGUUUAUCACCAGCCUCUAUAGCGUUGGGGAUGCCGUGAUAGGCAUACAGUGACAAGGUUGGAACGCAAGGGGUUUGCGAUCGUCUUCCAGGUAUCACAUCUAACCAGUUCAGAGGCUAUUUAUCUGCCUUUUUCACUGCCACUGCAAAAUAUGGAAAAAUCAGAUGAGCAAACAGAGGCAUCACCAGCAAAAACUUGUAAAUGCAAUUACUGUGGACAUAACAGGGAAAGUUGCACACAGGAAGGGGCACAAGCGGAAAAGAGUCAACCACCAAGAUAAGCCUAACUGUUUUCUUCAAAAAAGCAAAGGUUUAUUAUUUUUAUUGAUGAAUACUUUGACAGCACUCUUAUCUUCAACAAUCCCUAAUGCACAACAAGCUGCUGUGUAGCCACGGGGUCAGCCAUUCAAGCUGUAGAAAAGGAGAAAA